UAUGUACCAAUUUAGGUGGAAUGGAUUUUACAAUUAAACAUUUUGCUGGUGAUGUCAAAUAUUCUUCAGACGGAUUUUUGGACAAAAAUAAAGAUACAGUUUAUGAAGAUCAAGUUAAUGUAUUAAGAAAUGGGAAAAAUGCUUUGUUAAGUAA